CGGCGAACGGGUGAGUAACACGUGGGUGAUCUGCCCUGCACUUCGGGAUAAGCCUGGGAAACUGGGUCUAAUACCGGAUAUGACNUCCUGUUGCAUGGCNUGNGGUGGAAAGAUUUAUCGGUGCAAGAUGGGCCCGCGGCCUAUCAGCUUGUUGGUGGGGUAAUGGCCUACCAAGGCGACGACGGGUAGCCGACCUGAGAGGGUGACCGGCCACACUGGGACUGAGACACGGCCCAGACUCCUACGGGAGGCAGCAGUGGGGAAUAUUGCACAAUGGGCGAAAGCCUGAUGCAGCGACGCCGCGUGAGGGAUGACGGCCUUCGGGUUGUAAACCUCUUUCAGCAGGGACGAAGCGCAAGUGACGGUACCUGCAGAAGAAGCACCGGCUAACUACGUGCCAGCAGCCGCGGUAAUACGUAGGGUGCAAGCGUUGUCCGGAAUUACUGGGCGUAAAGAGUUCGUAGGCGGUUUGUCGCGUCGUUUGUGAAAACCAGCAGNUCANCUGCUGGCUUGCAGGGCNAUACGGGCAUACUUGAGUACUGCAGGGGAGACUGGGAAUUCCUGGUG
rnacentral:rRNA from 1 species